GUAUGUAGUCACCUAUUGAAAUCUCUAGAAGACUUAUAUUUUGGAACGGAGGGAGUGGUUAUCUUCCAGUACUUGUCAACUUUGUGUGUGUUUGAUUUUCAGUCCAUAUGUUAGUUCAAGUACCCGUGCCAUAUAAAUAUAUGUGUGUGUGUCUGAUGUAAAUCAUCUAUUUUCUGUUCCUGUCAUAGUAUUGUUUCUACCCUUUGUUAUAUACUCGCUAGUUAUAUUUGUGUUAA